AUGAACGCGUGGAGGCCCCAAAAUGGGGGAAAUGACAGCCAUUCAAAAAAUAGAUCCCCAAAAUGGAAGAAUGCUCCUGAUCGUCACUUUUUCUUUCUUCAGUUCUUUUCUCUUUCCAACAAUCCUUCCCUUUUAUUUUCAACACGUUUUCCUUUAAUUCCUUGCCAAGAAAGUGGAAUCGCUCUAAGGCUCCAGCCAUUUCCUGCUAUCAGUGUUUCCAGAAACUACGCUUCCUGUAACUACAAAGAAAACACCUUCUGUGCCCAGUGGAUGCGCCGGGCAGCCUUCCCCUCGUGUCCCUCUGCCCGCGACCGCCUCCUGCCCCCAAUCAUCUCCUGCCUCCCAAUGCCCUCGUGGGGCUGCCCUGCCUCCCUCCCGGGAAAGACGGUCCCUCGGGGCUCCUCAGGGGCCAGGGAUUCGUGGACACAACGUGCUCUGGCACUUCCUCUGUUCAAGACAUCGUUGCCAACACUGGACACACAUCAUUUCAUUUCACCCUCGCUCCAAUGUGGGCUUGUCUAG
rnacentral:lncRNA from 1 species